AGUGAACGCUGGCGGUAGGCCUAACACAUGCAAGUCGAACGGCAGCACAGUAAGAGCUUGCUCUUACGGGUGGCGAGUGGCGGACGGGUGAGGAAUACAUCGGAAUCUACUUUUUCUUGGGGGAUAACGUAGGGAAACUUACGCUAAUACCGCAUACGACCUACGGGUGAAAGCAGGGGAUCUUCGGACCUUGCGUGAUUGAAUGAGCCGAUGUCGGAUUAGCUAGUUGGCGGGGUAAAGGCCCACCAAGGCGACGAUCCGUAGCUGGUCUGAGAGGAUGAUCAGCCACACUGGAACUGAGACACGGUCCAGACUCCUACGGGAGGCAGCAGUGGGGAAUAUUGGACAAUGGGCGCAAGCCUGAUCCAGCCAUACCGCGUGGGUGAAGAAGGCCUUCGGGUUGUAAAGCCCUUUUGUUGGGAAAGAAAAGCAGCAGGUUAAUACCCCGCUGUUCUGACGGUACCCAAAGAAUAAGCACCGGCUAACUUCGUG
rnacentral:rRNA from 1 species